rnacentral:rRNA from 1 species
AUUGAACGCUGGCGGCAGGCCUAACACAUGCAAGUCGAGCGGAUGACGGGAGCUUGCUCCUUGAUUCAGCGGCGGACGGGUGAGUAAUGCCUAGGAAUCUGCCUGGUAGUAGGGGACAACGUUUCGAAAGGAACGCUAAUACCGCAUACGUCCUACGGGAGAAAGCAGGGGACCUUCGGGCCUUGCGCUAUCAGAUGAGCCUAGGUCGGAUUAGCUAGUUGGUGGGGUAAUGGCUCACCAAGGCGACGAUCCGUAACUGGUCUGAGAGGAUGAUCAGUCACACUGGAACUGAGACACGGUCCAGACUCCUACGGGAGGCAGCAGUGGGAAAUAUUGGACAAUGGGCGAAAGCCUGAUCCAGCCAUGCCGCGUGUGUGAAGAAGGUCUUCGGAUUGUAAAGCACUUUAAGUUGGGAGGAAGGGCAGUAAGUUAAUACCUUGCUGUUUUGACGUUACCGACAGAAUAAGCACCGGCUAACUCUGUGCCAGCCGCCGCCGUAAGAC